UAUGUGAUCGUCUCUCGCAUAUCAAUAAGCGGAGGAAAAGAAACUAACAAGGAUUCCCCUAGUAACGGCGAGUGAAGCGGGAAGAGCUCAAAUUUGAAAUCUUAAAGGGUUUCCCUUUACGAAUUGUAGUUUAAAGAAGUGUUUUCUGUUGAGGUUUUGGUAAAAGUUCUUUGGAAUAGGACAUCAUAGAGGGUGAGAAUCCCGUAUUUGACCUUUACUUUCAACUUUGUGAUACACUUUCAAAGAGUCGGAUUGUUUGGGAAUGCAGUCCAAAAUGGGUGGUAAAUUUCAUCUAAAGCUAAAUAUUGGCGAGAGACCGAUAGCGAACAAGUACCGUGAGGGAAAGAUGAAAAGAACUUUGAAAAGAGAGUUAAACAGUACGUGAAAUUGUCAAAAGGGAAGCGUUUGACACCAGUGUUGUUUUUCUGAAAAUCAAUUAAAGAACUGUUUAUGCUAAGUUGUUUAGACUUUACCAGCUAACUGUUUAGUUUUGAGCUUUUCUUUAAUGCACUUUUCAGUUAACAAGUCAACAUCAAUUUCUUUUGCUGUAAAAAAGCUUGAGGAAGGUGGCUUGAGAUUCGUCUUAAGUGUUUAUAGCCUCUUGCCUAUGCAGUCGGAGAGAUUGAGGUCUGCAGCGUAGAUCCUUCGGGGCUAAAUGCAUUUGUGCUAAGUUAUAGCAUUUUAUAGACAACUUGUUGACUAUGAUUUGUCUUGUAGCUUACUCGCUUAUGUUAUUUUACCUACGCUUAGGAUGUUGAUAUGCAUGACUGAUAU
rnacentral:rRNA from 1 species